AACGAACGCUGGCGGCAUGCCUUACACAUGCAAGUCGAACGCGAAAGGGGGGCAACCCCCGAGUAGAGUGGCGGACGGGUGAGUAAUACAUCGGAACGUACCCAGUAGUGGGGGACAACCUCGAGAAAUCGAGGCUAAUACCGCAUACGACCUACGGGUGAAAGCGGGGGACGGCAAGGCCUCGCGCUAUUGGAGCGGCCGAUGUCCGAUUAGCUAGUUGGUGGGGUAAGAGCCCACCAAGGCGACGAUCGGUAGCUGGUCUGAGAGGACGACCAGCCACACUGGGACUGAGACACGGCCCAGACUCCUACGGGAGGCAGCAGUGGGGAAUUUUGGACAAUGGGGGCAACCCUGAUCCAGCCAUGCCGCGUGCGGGAAGAAGGCCUUCGGGUUGUAAACCGCUUUCGGCAGGGACGAAAGCUCUCGACCUAACACGUCGGGAGGUUGACUUAACCUACAAAAGAAGCACCGGCUAACUCUGUGCCAGCCGCCGCAGUAA
rnacentral:rRNA from 1 species